CGAGGGGAUGUGGACAGGAUCUGUGUCUGUACCAUGUGGCGACAUGCAUCUCUGCGUGCCUGGCAGAUAUCUCAGCUUAGAUGUCGGCCCACCACCUCCAGCUCAACCUCGACAAGACAGAGCUGCUCUUCCUCCCGGUGAAGGCCUGCCCCCUCCAAGACCUCUCAAUCACUGUUGACAACUUCACGUUGUCCCCCUCCCAGAGUGCAAAGAACUUUGGCGUGACCCUGGACAACACCCUGUCAUUCUCUGCAAACAUCAAAGCAGUGACGCGCUCCUCCAGAUGUGGUAUGCAGUGCACUCCUCCCUCAUCACGGCUCUCUAGUGUUCCCUCUCCCAGUCAGAACAACCCAGACGGGCUCUACUCCUCUUAUCAGAUGGAGCCAGGCAGGCAGGACAGGACGGGGCCAGUGUGGAUCCAGCUGCUCCCAGGAGCAGGGCGCAGUCCCACUUAAUAGGUCUUCCCGGCAUCCCAGGCCUCGCCCCACUGGCAUCCCAGUCACAGCCAGGCAGGCUACUCCGUGGGUGGCACGCCUUGGAAACAGGCGGCAGAGACAGAGGAGGUGGGUACGGGGGAGACUGGUAAAGACAACCCAGUCCGCCUGGUGUUCCAGAGAACUUUGCCGUUAGACCAAUUGCUUCCCGAGGACCAGUAAAAAGCAAUGGCUCCGACAUGGAGUCCCAUGACGCAUCAUGCUGAAUCUGAUCAGAACAUAUUGAGAGUUCAAAUGACACUUGCUUGAAUAUGCAGCUUGAGCUACAUCGAAAUGUUGUCAACGUUGAGCGAGUUUCUGUUUUCAUAUUGGUGGUGCUACCUGCUUAGAAGGCCGGUCAGGGUCUUGGUGUUCUAAAUCAUCCUAAUUGAUGGGUGUCGGAUGUGUUAGUAUUAUCAUAGGUGCUCUGAGAUUUGUCUCCAAAUAAAUAAAGCUUUAAUUUAUAAGCAUGGACGUAUAUUC
ensembl:lncRNA